UCAACUUAUCAGCCACUUAUGUGGGUGUUGACUGUGACUCAAGUCAAGUUCCCUUUUUCCCUGGUCUCGCUGUGCAACCAUGUUGGUUUCAUUUACUGUAGAAAGGAGAAACGUGUUUAUCAACACAGCAAUGUGUGGUUUGUGGUACAUACGCGGCCAUCGUGAGUGAGGAGGAUGGAGUCACUCUUGAUGUCUCUGUGGAUCACACCCUGUGUGUGGAGGACAGACAACGCCUUCAG